ACAUAACGCUAGGGGUGCCUUGAGCUGAGAAAUACCCUUUAAACCUGAUCUAGUUAGUACUAGCGAAGGGAAGCCAAUGUAACGAAUA
rnacentral:ncRNA from 2 species